rnacentral:misc_RNA from 1 species
UCACGCCUUACGACGGCAGUCUCGGUAGAGUCCUCAGCGAAAACUGUUAGCAACUACCGAUGUGGGUUGCGCUCGUUAUGGCACUUAAGCCGACACCUCACGGCACGAGCUGACGACAACCAUGCAGCACCUACAUAGAAGCCCCGAAGGGAAGACGGUUUUCACCAUCCGUCAUCUACAUUUCAAUCCCGGGUAAGGUUCCUCGCGUAUCAUCGAAUUAAACCACAUGUUCCUCCGCUUGUGCGGGCCCCCGUCAAUUCCUUUGAGUUUCACCGUUGCCGGCGUACUCCCCAGGUGGAUUACUUAACGCUUUCGCUGUGGAAGCUUGACGGUAUAUCGCAAACUCCUAGUAAUCAUCGUUUACUGCGUGGACUAC